rnacentral:rRNA from 1 species
GAUGACCUCUGGCGGCGUUCCUACUACAUGCAAGUCGAGCGAACAGAUAAGGAGCUUGCUCCUUUGACGUUAGCGGCGGACGGGUGAGUAACACGUGGGUAACCUACCUAUAAGACUGGGAUAACUUCGGGAAACCGGAGCUAAUACCGGAUAACAUUUGGAACCGCAUGGUUCUCAAGUGAAAGAUGGUUUUGCUAUCACUUAUAGAUGGACCCGCGCCGUAUUAGCUAGUUGGUAAGGUAACGGCUUACCAAGGCGACGAUACGUAGCCGACCUGAGAGGCUGAUCCGCCACCCUUGCACUGAGACAUGGUCCAGACGCCGACGGCAGGCAGCAGGGGGGAAUCUUGCGCAACGGGCGAACGCCUGACGGAGCAACGCUGGGGGAGGGAUGAAGGCUUUCGGUUCGUCAAACUCAGUUACUAGGGAAGAACAACAGUGUAAGUCACUGUGCAGGGAUUGCAGGUAACGAAUCAGAACGCAAAGGCCAACCCAGUG